rnacentral:lncRNA from 1 species
UUUAUUCUACAAAUGUCAAAUAGUCUUGAUAUGCUUGCAAGGUAUUGAACUUCUAAUUAAUCUCAAGUCAUUUUAUAUGUAAUCAAUAUUAUAAAUUACUUUAAUUAGUAAAAAGUUACCUGUUCAUCGAUGAACUUGGCCCAAAAUCGAGCCAUGGCUUUCUCGUAAGGAUCUUGAGGUAGAAUUGGAUUAGUAGUCCAUGUUUGGUCGAUGUAUUCGAGGAUGACAUGUGACUCGGACAAGAUUUUAUCAUUGUGGACAAGAACCGGAACCUUCUUGUGAACUGGAUUAAGCUCAAGAAGCAAAGUGCUCUUUUUGGGUAAGUCUUCCUCCAAGUACUCGUAUGGUACGCCUUUAAGUUUGAGAGCCAUCUCGACCCUACGACUAAAAGGGCUUAUCCAAAACCCUAAAAGCUUCACACUCUCUUCUUUCUUCUCCAUUAGAUCUCUCUCUCUCUCACUUGUUCACUUUUUGGUUUCUAUUAUCUCACUCCUUUGUUCUUCUCUCUUUACCUUUUCUGGUUCCUUCUCUUGUUUGAUUACUAUUUUAAUGUCUCUAUAAAUCAAGUUGUUGCAUACACCACUCUAGUUAUUUUAUUGUUGUUUCGUACUAGCAAUUGGCUUUUACAGACACUAACCACGUUGUCCCUUUGCGAAUUACGAGUUUUAUAGAGUAUUUUAUUGUAUUGCUAAAACUUUUGAGGUUUUGCCUUUGUUUGUUUCCUAUAGUUUAUGUGUUAAUUGAAAAGAUAAUCAUGGAAGACAGAAAAAUUAAUAUAACUGUAAUAAUAUGACUUGUUGAAUGUUGAUAGUAUGAACUUUCCACACUUGUCUAUUGUAUCCUAUAAAAAUAUGGAUUUGAAGUAGAUUACUCUAUUAUAGUAAAUGAAACAUGUUAUAAUAAAACUUUUAAUGGAUUUGGAUGUGAUAGAUACCAAAACUUAAAUUCAUGGAUAAACCAUGUUAUUUCAAAAUUAAUCUACAUUUUUUAUUUUUUAAACCAAUGAGAAUUAUGGAUUUCAAAAUCCUUGAACCAAUACAAAUAUUACCGGACGACCAAGAAGUACGCAGUUGUGUUUAAUUUAAUUUAGGCAGACAUAAUUUUCUCUGCAAUUUUGGUCAUUCGCUCCACUUGUUUAUCUCUUGGAGGAAUACAUUCCCUCACGGCCUCAACGUCUUCCAAGUUACUGAUCCAUCUGUUUAGUUCUGGAAACAACUCCUUUGGAAUCAUAUCGAUCCCUAAACCUUCCCAAAGCCGAGCUAGACAAAAUGGGAUCAUACUUCCUGCGACCAUGUCCAAGAAUCCGACUGUCUUGCCGCCAAAGAAAUCCUUCCCGGUGACUUGCUUCUCAAGAAACAUAAGCAUUUCUUGAGUCUCUUCAAUAGCAACUUCUCUUCCCUUCUCUGCUUUCACCAAGGACCUGAACCCUAACGUUAAGAUCUGCAAGUAAAGAACAAUACAUAAGCAAAAGAAAUAAAGGAUCCUGAUUUUAAAUGUUUUAUCAGUAUACCUGCUCAUCGAUGAACUUGGCCCAAAAUCGAGCCAUGGCUUUGUCGUAAGGAUCUUGAGGAAGAAUCGGAUUGUUAUUCUUCCAUGUCUGAUCGAUGUAUUCGAUGAUCAGAUGUGACUCGGGUAAUACUUUAUCAUUGUGGACAAGAACAGGAACUU